rnacentral:rRNA from 1 species
AUUACGGGGUGCAGCAGGCGCGAAAACUUUACAAUGCGGGAAACCGUGAUAAGGGAAUCUCGAGUGCCAGCAUAUAAUGUUGGCUGUCCAGAUGCCUAAAGAGCAUCUGUUAGCAAGGGCCGGGCAAGACCGGUGCCAGCCGCCGCGGUAACACCGGCGGCCCGAGUGGUAACCGCUUUUAUUGGGUCUAAGGGGUCUGUAGCCGGCCAAGUAAGUCCCUUGGGAAAUCUGGCAGCUUAACUGUCAGGCUGCUAGGGGAUACUGCUAGGCUUGGGACCGGGAGAGGUGAGAGGUACCUUGGGGGUAGGGGUGAAAUCUUGUGGUCCUCGGGGGACCACCAGUGGCGAAGGCGUCUCACCAGAACGGGUCCGACGGUAAGGGACGAAAGCUAGGGGCACGAACCGGAUUAGAUACCCGGGUAGUCCUAGCCGUAAACGAUGCUCGCUAGGUGUCAGUCACGGUGCGACCGUGAUUGGUGCCGUAGGGAAGCCGUGAAGCGAGCCACCUGGGAAGUAUGGCCGCAAGGCUGAAACUUAAAGGAAUUGGCGGGGGAGCACAAU